rnacentral:rRNA from 1 species
UACGGAGGGUGCAAGCGUUAUCCGGAUUCACUGGGUUUAAAGGGUGUGUAGGCGGGUGUUUAAGUCAGUGGUGAAAUCUCCAGGCUCAACCUGGAAACUGCCAUUGAUACUAUUCAUCUUGAAUUCUGUUGAGGUGGGCGGAAUAUAUCAUGUAGCGGUGAAAUGCUUAGAUAUGAUAUAGAACACCGAUUGCGAAGGCAGCUCACUAAAC